CCUACGGGAGGCAGCAGUGAGGAAUAUUGGUCAAUGGGCGGGAGCCUGAACCAGCCAAGCCGCGUGAGGGAAGAAUGUACAGCGUAUCGUAAACCUCUUUUGUCAGGGAAUAAAGGCGGGGACUAGUCCCCGCAUGAGGGUACCUUAAGAAAAAGCAUCGGCUAACUCCGUGCCAGCAGCCGCGGUAAUACGGAGGAUGCGAGCGUUAUCCGGAUUUAUUGGGUUUAAAGGGUGCGCAGGGGGCCUGUUAAGUCAGCGGUAAAAGCUCGGGGCUCAACCCAGGCGAGCCGUUGAAACUGGCGGGCUGGAGUUGGAUAGAGGUACGCGGAAUGCGCGGUGUAGCGGUGAAAUGCUUAGAUAUCGCGCAGAACCCCGAUUGCGAAGGCAGCGCACCGGAUCCAAACUGACACUGAGGCACGAAAGCGUGGGUAUCGAACAGGAUUAGAUACCCUGGUAGUC
rnacentral:rRNA from 1 species